rnacentral:rRNA from 1 species
UACGUAGGGUGCAAGCGUUGUCUGGAAUUAUUGGGCGUAAAGAGCUCGUAGGCGGUCUGUCGCGUCGGCUGUGAAAACUCGGGGCUCAACCCCGAGCCUGCAGUCGAUACGGGCAGACUAGAGUGCUGUAGGGGAGACUGGAAUUCCUGGUGUAGCGGUGAAAUGCGCAGAUAUCAGGAGGAACACCGGUGGCGAAGGCGGGUCUCUGGGCAGUAACUGACGCUGAGGAGCGAAAGCGUGGGGAGCGAACAGG